CAAAUAAAUAAAAUCAUAAAAAAAAAAUCAAGAUAUUUUGGUUCGAAAAUUAUCAGCCACCUCUCAUUUCCAGAUUCAGAAUGCCCGCCCCAUUCAAACCCAAGAUGUAUCCGAGAGUCUCUACUAGUAUGCCAAAAGGUAGCAAAACCAGUCGAUUACUUCCACGCAUCAGUGAAAUGAAUAAGGAGAGACAGACGCAGGACGAGUAAUGGUUACGUUAAACGAACAACUUAGCAAUUCCCUUUCUGUGUCCAAGUCCCACAUUUCAUUAACUGAGGUCUUGUCUACUUUUUGUGCUAGCCAGAAAGUGGGGAGAAAGACAGGUGGAUCAGGUGGACGGGUGGACAGAAGGUGUGAUUGUGAAUUUCAGGCACUUGUGGAGGAAAAGAACCAGCCUGAGUACGCGAAUGAAUGAGGCAGGGACCAGUUCUCUCCAGGGAGGCCUCGCUGGGGAAAAUCAGCUCAGGGCUUCAGCUCAAAGGAAGACCAGACCCAGAAUGGGCUUUGGGCUGAGCGUCGCUUAACAGUCUGAAAGUACAGACAGAUUCAUCGCACCCAUGGUGCCAGCCUACCACGCCACCUUCUGAGUGAGCAACCCAGAGAAUUCAUUCCAUGAUGUCACAAUACUGACAGUGUCCUACACGUGCCAAGCUUCAGGAGGUGCUGGGAACCAAGACCUCAUCCUUCCCUCAGGACACAUGAAAUUCAGCCAAGGAAGGGCUCAAGGUCAGAGCCUAGUCAACAAGAGGGCUCCCAGGAGGCUUUGGUCAGGAGAGAGACUUGGUCAGAGUGCUUCCAGCAGGAAAGGCCUAUUUGGGCUGCAGAAUGAAAGCCGACAGACGUUGCACGGCGGCAGAUUUCCAAGCAGAGAGAAGGAACCUUCCCCAGUCCUGCUUCUAAGAACAAAGUCCAGGAGGUGUCCUGUGUGUCUCACCAAUUCACAAACCAAAGUUUGGCAGCUGGUCGGGCCGAGCUACGGGAUGGCACAGCAAGACCGGUUCCGACCCUCAGCCUCACCUGUCUCUCAUUCCCACGGCCACCAUAGCCACCAGCACCUGUAA
rnacentral:lncRNA from 1 species